UACGUAGGGUGCGAGCGUUGUCCGGAAUUACUGGGCGUAAAGAGCUCGUAGGCGGUGUGUCGCGUCGGCCGUGAAAACCUGCAGCUUAACUGUGGGCUUGCGGUCGAUACGGGCAUCACUGGAGUUCGGCAGGGGAGACUGGAAUUCCCGGUGUAGCGGUGAAAUGCGCAGAUAUCGGGAGGAACACCAAUGGCGAAGGCAGCUCGCUGGGACGGUACUGACGCUGAGACGCGAAAGCGUGGGGAGCAAACAGG
rnacentral:rRNA from 1 species